rnacentral:misc_RNA from 1 species
GAUGAAGAACGCAGUGAAAUGCGAUACGUAAUGUGAAUUGCAGAAUUCAGUGAAUCAUCGAGUCUUUGAACGCACAUUGCGCCCCUUGGUAUUCCGAGGGGCAUGCCUGUUCGAGCGUCAUUAUAACCCCUCAAGCUCAGCUUGGUGUUGGGGCCUGCCGCACGGGCAGCCCUUAAAAUCAGUGGCGGUGCUAUCUGGCUCUAAGCGUAGUAAUUCUUCUCGCUAUAGAGUCCCGGUGGAUGCUUGCCAUUAACCCCCAAUUUUCUAUGGUUGACCUCGGAUCAGGUAGGGAUACCCGCUGAACUUAAGCAUAUCAAUAAGCGGAGGA